rnacentral:rRNA from 1 species
AGGUAUCAGAAGUGCGAAUGCUGACAUGAGUAACGAUAAUGGGUGUGAAAAACACCCACGCCGAAAGACCAAGGUUUCCUGCGCAACGUUAAUCGACGCAGGGUUAGUCGGUCCCUAAGGCGAGGCUGAAAAGCGUAGUCGAUGGAAAACAGGUUAAUAUUCCUGUACUUCUGGUUAUUGCGAUGGAGGGACGGAGAAGGCUAGGCCAGCUUGGCGUUGGUUGUCCAA